CAGCGCCACGAGUGGCAAUCGUAUAUUUGGCCUAAAGCGUCCGUAGCCGGAUUUGUAAAUCUUUUGUGAAAUCGUUGAGCUCAACUUAACGGCGUGCAGAAGACACUGCGAGUCUUGAGACCGGGAGGAGAUAGAGGUAUUCUAGGGGGAGCGGUAAAAUGCUAUAAUCCCUGGAGGACCACCAGUGGCGAAGGCGUCUAUCCAGAACGGAUCUGACGGUGAGGGACGAAAGCCAGGGGAGCGAACCGGAUUAGAGACCCGAGUAGUCC
rnacentral:rRNA from 1 species